CAGCAGCCGCGGUAAUACGAAGGGUGCAAGCGUUACUCGGAAUUACUGGGCGUAAAGCGUGCGUAGGUGGUUGUUUAAGUCUGCUGUGAAAGCCCUGGGCUCAACCUGGGAAUUGCAGUGGAUACUGGGCGACUAGAGUAAGGUAGAGGAUAGCGGAAUUUCCGGUGUAGCAGUGAAAUGCGUAGAGAUCGGAAGGAACAUCUGUGGCGAAGGCGACUAUCUGGGCCAACACUGACACUGAGGCACGAAAGCGUGGGGAGCAAACAGGAUUAGAUACCCCAGUAGUCCCUGUCUCUUAUAC
rnacentral:rRNA from 1 species